AUACGUAGGUGGCAAGCGUUGUCCGGAAUUAUUGGGCGUAAAGCGCAUGUAGGCGGUUUGGUAAGUCGGUCGUGAAAAUGCGGUGCUUAACGCCGUAUGGCGAUUGAAACUGCUGAACUUGAGUGGAGGAGAGGAAAGGGGAACUCCCAGUGUAGCGGUGAAAUGCGUAGAUAUUGGGAAGAACACCGGUGGCGAAGGCGCCUUUCUGGACUGUGUCUGACGCUCAGAUGCGAAAGCCAGGGUAGCGAACGGGAUUAGAUACCCCGGUAGUCCUGGCCGUAAACGAUGGGUACUAGGUGUGGGAGGUAUCGACUCCUUCCGUGCCGGAGUUAACGCAAUAAGUACCCCGCCUGGGGAGUACGGCCGCAAGGCUUAAACUCAAAGGAAUUGACGGGG
rnacentral:rRNA from 1 species